CCUACGUGAGGCAGCAGUGGGGAAUAUUGCACAAUGGGCGAAAGCCUGAUGCAGCGACGCCGCGUGAAGGAUGAAGUACUUCGGUAUGUAAACUUCUAUCAGCAGGGAAGAAAAUGACGGUACCUGACUAAGAAGCACUGGCUAACUACGUCCCAGCAGCCGCGGUCAUACGCAGGGGGCAAGCGUUAGGCGGAAUUAAUGGGUGUAAAGGGAGCGUAGGUGGUUUAGCAAGUCACAAGGGAAAGCCCUGGGCUCAACGCCGGGACUGCUUUUGAAACUGAUGAACUAGAGUGCGGGAGAGGUAAGUGGAAUUCCUGGUGUAGCGGUGAAAUGCGUAGAUAUUAGGAGGAACACCAGUGGCGAAGGCGGCUUACUGGACUGUAAAUGACGCUGAGGCGCGAAAGCGUGGGUAGCAAACAGGAUUAGAUACCCUAGUAGUC
rnacentral:rRNA from 1 species